rnacentral:tRNA from 2 species
UGGGCCAUAGCCAAGCGGUUAAGGCACAGGACUUUGACUCCUGCAGCGUUGGUCCGAAUCCAACUGGCCCAG